CACGUAGGGCGCAAGCGUUGUCCGGAAUUAUUGGGCGUAAAGAGCUCGUAGGCGGACUGUUGCGUCCGCUGUGAAAAGCUGGGGCUUAACCCCUGGCUUGCAGUGGAUACGGGCAGACUAGAGGUAGGUAGGGGAGAAUGGAAUUCCCGGUGUAGCGGUGAAAUGCGCAGAUAUCGGGAGGAACACCGGUGGCGAAGGCGGUUCUCUGGGCCUUACCUGACGCUGAGGAGCGAAAGCGUGGGGAGCGAACAGG
rnacentral:rRNA from 1 species